rnacentral:piRNA from 1 species
GCUGCUCAGAAAUUGCUGACUGGGA